rnacentral:lncRNA from 1 species
UGCAAACGUCAUUUCCUAUUGUCAUCAAAUAGAUAAUAAUAACCAUUAGGUGGAAUCUAAAACACAACUCCGCUGAAGAGAAUCCAUUAACGAUUGUUGAAAAUUACAACAUUUUCUAUAUGGCCUGGAAAGAUUUGGGAUUGCAGCAUGACCUGCAAUUACAUCACCACAACUCUGCUGGAGGGUUCCGAAUUCCAAACUUAUUUAUUCAAAGUCAAACGAUCUUUUUGGUCACGAGAGCACCAAUACAAAUAACCAAUGAAUUAAACUAGCAGCAUACAAAGCCCUAGGACAGCAAAAUUGGAUGCAUCCCAUCAAAUUUGAUUAUGGAAUCGCCACUCAUCUGUACAUUCAUCAACAGACUGAACAGAGUCAAGGAAAGAGAUUCAACCAAAUAAGGAGCCAACAACAGAGAACAAAAACAUUGCUAAAUGGAAGCAUGAAUGGAAGAUUAAAAGAGAUCAGAGAUCCUACCAUCAGUUCAGAUUGCAACUACAACUUUAUACAUAAAAACCCUUUCUUGGACGUAUUUUAAGACAUCAAAUUGACAAUUUUUUAUAACCAACUAGACUAAUUAGGCUUUAGAUUUCAGAAUUGAAAAGGUUUGAUAUCAAAAAAUUGAGGAUCUUAGCUAAAUCAAAAUCAGACAUUAGAAAGUAAAAAUCCUCCAAAUAACGCAAGCUAAAUUAAUAGACUCACAUAGGACCAAGAAAACACAUUUAGAAAUAUGUCAACCGUUUUAUUUCUGUCACCUAAUACCCGUGUCCAGAAAUCAAUUCGAAACAAAAACCACAAAUUCAGACACCAAGUCCCCUAAAUUAACUCUAAGAGAAACAAAGGGGAUCAAAACCCUAAUAUCCCAAAUCAAGAAUUCAAAAUUUCUUUACACACGUAUUCAAAAAAUAAAAACCCUAAAAUUUAUUUUUAAAAAAUGUACCUCUUGAGAACAGAUUGAGUAUCAACGUUCUUUGCAGAUUGCACUGGCUGCUUGGAUGACGUCAUCACCGGACCAGCCGCCGGGGUGUUGCUGUUAUUGCUGCUUUCGCUGUUCAUUGUGGUAGUCAUCCCUUCUUCCUUGAUUCCUUACUUUUCACCCCUCAAAAAAUUCAACCUCUCAACGUUUAAACAAGAAUCAAUAUAAAGGGUUCCAAAAAUUCUGAACAAAUCAAACCGGAAUUUCGAGAAACCUCGUCAAAGAAGAAGAAGAGGCUAGUGAGGAUUAAAGGGCUGCCCGCUUCUUCUGAUGAUAAUGAAUUAUUGUAUUGAUUCUUGUUUAGAGAGAGAAAGUGACAGAUAGAUUGGAUUGAUGCAGAAAAAAAUUGUGUGAAGAGAUGUUUAUAAAUGUGAGAGUUUGUCUGAGUUUUCAU